CCUACGGGUGGCAGCAGUGAGGAAUAUUGGUCAAUGGACGAGAGUCUGAACCAGCCAAGUAGCGUGAAGGAUGACUGCCCUAUGGGUUGUAAACUUCUUUUAUAAAGGAAUAAAACGAGGCACGUGUGCCUUUUUGCAUGUACUUUAUGAAUACGGAUCGGCUAACUCCGUGCCAGCAGCCGCGGUAAUACGGAGGAUCCGAGCGUGAUCCGGAUUUAUUGGGUUUAAAGGGAGCGUAGAUGGGUUGUUAAGUCAGUUGUGAAAGUUUGCGGCUCAACCGUAAAAUUGCAAUUGAUACUGGCAGUCGUGAGUACAGUUGAGGUAGGCGGAAUUCGUGGUGUAGCGGUGAAAUGCUUAGAUAUCACGAAGAACCCCGAUUGCGAAGGCAGCUUACUAAACUGUGACUGACAUUGAUGCUCGAAAGUGUGGGUAUCAAACAGGAGUAGAUACCCGGGUAGUC
rnacentral:rRNA from 1 species